CAGGCUUAACACAUGCAAGUCGAGGGGCAGCAUGGUCUUAGCUUGCUAAGGCCGAUGGCGACCGGCGCACGGGUGAGUAACACGUAUCCAACCUGCCGUCUACUCUUGGACAGCCUUCUGAAGGGAAGAUUAAUACAAGAUGGCAUCAUGAGUCCGCAUGUUCACAUGAUUAAAGGUAUUCCGGUAGACGAUGGGGAUGCGUUCCAUUAGAUAGUAGGCGGGGUAACGGCCCACCUAGUCUUCGAUGGAUAGGGGUUCUGAGAGGAAGGUCCCCCACAUUGGAACUGAGACACGGUCCAAACUCCUACGGGAGGCAGCAGUGAGGAAUAUUGGUCAAUGGGCGAGAGCCUGAACCAGCCAAGUAGCGUGAAGGAUGACUGCCCUAUGGGUUGUAAACUUCUUUUAUAAAGGAAUAAAGUCGGGUAUGGAUACCCGUUUGCAUGUACUUUAUGAAUAAGGAUCGGCUAACUCCGUGCCAGCAGCCGCGGUAAUACGGAGGAUCCGAGCGUUAUCCGGAUUUAUUGGGUUUAAAGGGAGCGUAGAUGGAUGUUUAAGUCAGUUGUGAAAGUUUGCGGCUCAACCGUAAAAUUGCAGUUGAUACUGGAUAUCUUGAGUGCAGUUGAGGCAGGCGGAAUUCGUGGUGUAGCGGUGAAAUGCUUAGAUAUCACGAAGAACUCCGAUUGCGAAGGCAGCCUGCUAAGCUGCAACUGACAUUGAGGCUCGAAAGUGUGGGUAUCAAACAGGAUUAGAUACCCUGGUAGUCCACACGGUAAACGAUGAAUACUCGCUGUUUGCGAUAUACGGCAAGCGGCCAAGCGAAAGCGUUAAGUAUUCCACCUGGGGAGUACGCCGGCAACGGUGAAACUCAAAGGAAUUGACGGGGGCCCGCACAAGCGGAGGAACAUGUGGUUUAAUUCGAUGAUACGCGAGGAACCUUACCCGGGCUUAAAUUGCAGAUGAAUUACGGUGAAAGCCGUAAGCCGCAAGGCAUCUGUGAAGGUGCUGCAUGGUUGUCGUCAGCUCGUGCCGUGAGGUGUCGGCUUAAGUGCCAUAACGAGCGCAACCCUUGUUGUCAGUUACUAACAGGUUCCGCUGAGGACUCUGACAAGACUGCCAUCGUAAGAUGUGAGGAAGGUGGGGAUGACGUCAAAUCAGCACGGCCCUUACGUCCGGGGCUACACACGUGUUACAAUGGGGGGUACAGAGGGCCGCUACCACGCGAGUGGAUGCCAAUCCCCAAAACCUCUCUCAGUUCGGACUGGAGUCUGCAACCCGACUCCACGAAGCUGGAUUCGCUAGUAAUCGCGCAUCAGCCACGGCGCGGUGAAUACGUUCCCGGGCCUUGUACACACCGCCCGUCAAGCCAUGGGAGCCGGGGGUACCUGAAGUGCGUAACCGCGAGGAGCGCCCUAGGGUAAAACUGGUGACUGGGGCUAAGUCAUA
rnacentral:rRNA from 1 species